rnacentral:lncRNA from 1 species
AGUUGUUCAUUCUCAGCUUUCUGAUUGUAGCUGAAAUAUGACCCCACCCGCUUCACACUCUUGCUUUCGUGGAGAAGUCCACCACUAGGCUUCCCUACCAUGACAAAACCACAUCCUGAACUGUGAAAAGAAUAAGGCAUAUUGUACAGUCUCUUUGUAAACUGUGAAGUACUGUCAGGGUGCUGGAAUCUCUCAUUUCUGCAGAGAGAUGACUAUAUCCAUCGGGAAGGAUUUCCCACUAGGAGCAGAAGACCCGAGAUUAGUGUAGGUGAUACAAGUUAGAGAAGGAUCUGAGUCUAUCAUGGCUGCAAAGAGUCGUGGCUGUAGGAGCUGGAACCUGACUCACACCUUCACAUGAAAGAAUGAAACAGAGAGCAAACAGGAAGCAAGGCAAGACUAUAAAGAGACAAAGUCCACCCCCAGUGACAUUAAGGUCUUCCACCAAGGUUCCUUCCAUCAACAAGAUUCCACAACCUCCCCCCAUAGGGGACCAAGUGUUCUGAGCCAAUGGAGGACCCUCUCAUUUCAAACUAACACAAAGUGUUAUUUGGACACUUAAUCCAUCUGCUCUCUGAAUGUUGGCUCCUGUUCCCUGGACUCCACCCAUUUCCCUGACUGACAGGCAGAAAUUUGGGACUUUGAACUCAGGGGAUGGAUUUCUAUCUUGGAGCUGUCAGUUUCCUGCUCUGUGGAUGAAUUGUGCCAAAACCCUAGCCUUGUGUAGCUGAUAUGAGAAAGGAUGUCCAGCCAAUAUUUAACACCACAUCUGGCAGACACCAGACUAAUGAAUACCUAAGUUCCCUUGACUUUCUGUCUUGUGUCAGCUUCCCCCCUGCUCCCCGUGCCUUUCUUUUGAGCAGUGGUGAGUCUCCUCUCUUGGGCUUCAUCUUGUAUAAUGUGAAGUUUUGGCAAGGCCCUUCAUAUUUCUCCCUUGCCCAGGGGAGGCUUGCUGAGGGAACACAAAUGACUUUUCUUCAGCACCUGUAUAUACAAUGUCUGAAACUGCAAUAAAAGAGAGUUGGCAAGAGACCCAAA